GCUCAGAGGACACGCGAAGUUGUGAAAGCUUCGUGGGGAUUACGUGCCUGGCUCCUCUCUGGCCUCCCUCGCAAGGAGCACUCCCGUGCCCGCGGCGCUGCCCGGCGCGCUCCCGGGGCCGCCGCCGGCCCGCAGCCGGUGUUAGCGGGGCCGGGCUCGGGGCUGCCGCGGCCCAGCGCAGCCCGGCCCCGCCCGGGGCCCUUCCACCGAGCCCCUCCGGCCCCGCCGCACCCCCUACCUGCCCCGGCCCGGCGGCGGAAGCGGAAGCGGCGGCGGGAGCGGCGGAAGCGGCGGGAGCGGCGGCGGAAGCGGCGGGAGCGGCGGCGGAAGCGGCGGGAGCGGCGGCGGGAGCGGGCGGAGCGAGCGGAGCCAUGUCGGGCCGGGAGGGUAAGGCCGGGCCCGGGGCCGCCGCCCGCCCGGCCCCGCCCGGCGCUCACUGUCUCCUCUGUCUUUGCAGGCGGCAAGAAGAAGCCGCUGAAGCAGCCGAAGAAGCAGACGAAGGACCUGGAUGAGACGGAUCUGGCAUUCAAACAAAAACAGAAGGAGGAGCAAAAGAAACUUGAGGAGAUGAAAGCAAAAGCUGCUGGUAAAGGGCCCCUGGCCAGUGGUGGAAUAAAGAAGUCUGGCAAAAAGUAGCUUGAUGAAACCACCAGGCUAAGAAGUGAUCAAGUUACUCAAUGGACCUGCAGACUUCAGAGAGUCUUGAAAACAGUCUGUCAUUUGGGAAACAUUGUACAUUUUGUUUAGUCACAAUAAAUCCUUUUUGUUAAGAUGUGAUAUUUUCUCU
rnacentral:lncRNA from 1 species